AACGAACGCUGGCGGCAUGCCUAACACAUGCAAGUCGAACGAGACCUUCGGGUCUAGUGGCGCACGGGUGCGUAACGCGUGGGAACCUGCCCUUAGGUUCGGAAUAACUCCCCGAAAGGGGUGCUAAUACCGGAUAAUGUCUUCGGACCAAAGAUUUAUCGCCUUUGGAGGGGCCCGCGUUGGAUUAGCUAGUUGGUAGGGUAAAAGCCUACCAAGGCGACGAUCCAUAGCUGGGCUGAGAGGAUGAUCAGCCACACUGGGACUGAGACACGGCCCAGACUCCUACGGGAGGCAGCAGUGGGGAAUAUUGGACAAUGGGCGAAAGCAUGAUCCAGCAAUGCCGCGUGAGUGAUGAAGGCCUUAGGGUUGUAAAGCUCUUUUACCCGGGAUGAUAAUGACAGUACCGGGAGAAUAAGCUCCGGCUAACUCCGUG
rnacentral:rRNA from 1 species